ACACUUGGGUUCAUCUUCAUGAGGUGUAAUGGCGCCGGGAUGCGCUCUCCUCUUCUCAUUUGCCAAUUUAUUGCAGAUCCCUCCUCAAAAAAGUUUUGGGACUAACUCAGCCCCAUGGAGAUCAAGGUGAAUUAGAAAAACAACAAAACAAAACAAGAUUCAUUUUAACAUCUCAUUUUUCUAUCUCCAACUUUCCCUCCCCUCCUCCCACCCCAGGAAGAAAAGACUACGUUUGUUUCUGGUGAUACAUUCAUUGUAGGUGGGUGGGUGACUUCUAGAAGAGGAAAAUCAAGAAGAUUUGGAGAAGGAGUCUUGGAAGCUCUGGUGAAGUUUUCCAAAACUGGGAAGGACAGAGGAUGCCCACUGGAUCCAAAGAGAGAAACUCUAUAGAAUUAUGAUCUAGGUUUGACUGACUCCUGGCAAGAAGCCCUACCCGCCAGCCAAUUUGGAUGAGCUCUUAUGCUCCAGAUCCAUCAUGAGAAGAACAUGCCCUGGAUUCCUGCUAUCCCUUUAGCCAUGGCUCCAAAAUUAACACACACAAGGAAGACCUGAGGUCAAUCCACAGCCUGGAUUCAAGUCACCUAAUACAUAGGAGAAUCAGAGCUACCCAGCCACACUCAAUCUACGUUAACUGAACCUCAGCUGACCUGCAGAUUUAUGAGUAUGAGAAUAAAGGCUUGUUAA
rnacentral:lncRNA from 1 species